rnacentral:rRNA from 1 species
GCUAACGGCUGGCGGCGUGUCUUAGCCAUGCAAGUCGAGCGGACUUAUGGGGUAACUUAUAAGUCAGCGGCGGACGGCGGAGUAACACGUAGCUAACCUACCCUCUGGACGGGGAUAACCUACCGAAAGGUGGGCUAAUACCCGAUGUAGUCAUUCUGUAUAGGGGUGAUGAAAGGUGGGCUUCUGUUUACAAGCUCAUGCUGGAGGAGGGGGCUGCGGCCUAUCAGGUAGUUGGUAGGGUAAUAGCCUACCAAGCCGAUGACGGGUAGCCGGCCUGAGAGGGUGACCGGCCCGAGGGGCACUGAGAUACGGGUCCCACUCCUACGGGAGGCAGCAGGCUAGAAAUUUGGGCAAUGGGGGAAACCCUGACCCAGUGACGCCGCGUGCAGGAAGGAGCCCUUCGGGGUGUAAACUGCUGUCGUGUAGGGAGAAGGGUACUAAGGUGAACAAUCUUAGUACUUGACGGUACUACAGGAGGAAGCCCAGGCUAACCUCGUG